ACCCAAAGGCUCUCGGAGUGAAAAUCAUGUGAUAAAUGGGACCAAUCAAAGUGGGAGCGUUUUCUCCGGAGGGAAGCUUGGGGAGACUUUCAGGAAGGGGCCGGACCAGUGCCAUUCAACACGCCAUCGGAGUUUCCACCCAGAGAAGCUGAGACUUCGCCGACUGCCUGACAUCUUUCACUUUGAGCUGGAUAACUGUAGUGUCUUUCCAAAGUCACUGCCUCGAAACACCAGCUUGUCAGACUCUGGACUGUCUCCCAGCAAAGCACUGGCCUUCACAGAGCCCCGCAAGAGCAGGGUGAGAAUUCCUACUGAGGCGAGGUGACGUCUGAAAGCAGAACCCGGUGGUCAACGUCAAGUCACCCGACCUCACCGAGUCGACAAAUAUUUGUUGGGCAUCUGGCGUGUGCCGCUGCAGUCAACGAGAAAGUCCGGGGAGCUUUCGUUCUCGUAGGGGAGGUUAACGUAAACGCUAAUAAAUACCAUAAAAAUGAUCA
rnacentral:lncRNA from 1 species